CGGUAACAUUUCUAGCUUGCUAGAAGAUGACGAGCGGCGGACGGGUGAGUAAUGCUUGGGAACAUGCCUUGAGGUGGGGGACAACAGUUGGAAACGACUGCUAAUACCGCAUAACGUCUACGGACCAAAGGAGGGGAUCUUCGGACCUUUCGCCUUUAGAGUGGCCCAAGUGAGAUUAGCUAGAUGGUAGGGUAAUGGCCUACCAUGGCGACGAUCUCUAGCUGGUUUGAGAGGAUGAUCAGCCACACUGGGACUGAGACACGGCCCAGACUCCUACGGGAGGCAGCAGUGGGGAAUAUUGCACAAUGGGGGAAACCCUGAUGCAGCCAUGCCGCGUGUGUGAAGAAGGCCUUCGGGUUGUAAAGCACUUUCAGUCGUGAGGAAAGGGUUGUAGUUAAUACCUGCAAUCUGUGACGUUAGCGACAGAAGAAGCACCGGCUAACUCCGUGCCAGCAGCCGCGGUAAUACGGAGGGUGCGAGCGUUAAUCGGAAUUACUGGGCGUAAAGCGUGCGUAGGCGGAUGAUUAAGCGAGAUGUGAAAUCCCGGGGCUCAACCUCGGAACUGCAUUUCGAACUGGUCAUCUAGAGUACUGUAGAGGGUGGUGGAAUUUCCAGUGUAGCGGUGAAAUGCGUAGAGAUUGGAAGGAACAUCAGUGGCGAAGGCGGCCACCUGGACAGAUACUGACGCUGA
rnacentral:rRNA from 1 species